rnacentral:rRNA from 1 species
UCUCGAGUGGCGACGGGUGAGUACACGUGGGUGAUCUGCCCUGCACUCUGGGAUAAGCCUGGGAAACUGGGUCUAAUACCGGAUAGGACCAUGGGAUGCAUGUUCUGUGGUGGAAAGCUUUUGCGGUGUGGGAUGGGCCCGCGGCCUAUCAGCUUGUUGGUGGGGUGAUGGCCUACCAAGGCGACGACGGGUAGCCGGCCUGAGAGGGUGUCCGGCCACACUGGGACUGAGAUACGGCCCAGACUCCUACGGGAGGCAGCAGUGGGGAAUAUUGCACAAUGGGCGCAAGCCUGAUGCAGCGACGCCGCGUGGGGGAUGACGGCCUUCGGGUUGUAAACCUCUUUCAGUAUCGGCGAAGCUCCGUGGUUUUCUGCGGGGUGACGGUAGGUACAGAAGAAGCACCGGCCAACUACGUGCCAGCAGCCGCGGUAAUACGUAGGGUGCGAGCGUUGUCCGGAAUUACUGGGCGUAAAGAGCUCGUAGGUGGUUUGUCGCGUUGUUCGUGAAAACUCACAGCUUAACUGUGGGCGUGCGGGCGAUACGGGCAGACUGGAGUACUGUAGGGAGA